GUCCUUGUAGCUCAGUAGGAUAGAGCAACUCCCUCCUAAGGAGUAGGUCGCAAGUUCGAUUCUUGUCAAGGACA
rnacentral:tRNA from 2 species